CUCAAUUUCUCAUUCCAAAUAUUUGACAAUUGCACUCCUUUGGGGUUCCCUGUGGCAUCUUGGAGUCUUUAUAGAUCCUUGAGGUCUAACACUGUGGACAGGUAAACAAUGGAGUUUAAAAUGAGAAGCAUGCUCAGAAGUAGCAGAAAACAGAGAAAGUUUCAGCUUGAGAUGAAAAAUAAACAACAACAAAAAAACCCUGUUGUUGCAACAGCACGAGGGUUUAUGAGCAACACGGGAAAAAAUAUGAGUACUCAGUUAUUUUUAUGAGGAGUGGAGGAGUAACGGAGGUAGUGCUGUUUUAAUUUUAAAGCCAGAUAUUUGAGGAAGUGGAUUGCAGCAGUUGUUUCAUGUUUAAUUAUUUCUCAAGCUGCAGUUCAGCUGAAGAGAAGAACGAUAAAGCAGUGGUUGCUGCUGUUGUCUUGAGUGAUUUAUGCCACUCCUUUCUACGGGAUCUGAACCAGUGAAGACCUCUUUUAUGCUGUUUUUUCCUGCUCUGAUUUACAGUUUCUUCUCAUGACAAAUCUUUCAGAGGUGGCAGCACACAGAAAAUGACCUACAGGAAGUCCUGGGUCCCCCUGGACUCUCUCUCCUUAUUGGACAGUGAAAAUGUACGUCAUGCAAAGAUGUCAAAUGCACUGCUGAUUAUCUUGCUCUUCUUAUUUCCAAUGCUGCUAUCAGGACAUUGGUUUCCCAAAACUUUACCCUGUGAUGUGGAAGCCUUUGAAGGUACUGUGAGAGUAGACUGCAGCGAUCGUCACCUCACGGAAGUCCCCAGAGGGAUCCCUGGAAAUGCUACUAACCUGACCCUGACUAUUAACCAUAUCCCCCAUAUCUCUCCAGCAUCCUUUAUUCAGCUAGAAAACCUUGUGGAGAUUGACUUCAGAUGCAACUGCGUGCCUGCCAGACUGGGGCCCAAAGAUAGCGUGUGCAGCACACCACCAUCAAUUGAGAAUGGCAGUUUUGCUGCUCUGAAAAGACUGAAGUCAUUGUAUUUGGAUGCAAACCAACUGUCAGAAAUACCCCAGGGUCUUCCUGCUACUUUACGACUGCUGAGUCUGGAAGCAAACAGAUUUUUUUCUAUUAAAAAAAACACUUUUUCAGAGCUCAGAAAUAUAGAAUUAUUGUAUCUGGGACAGAAUUGUUACUACCGUAAUCCAUGCAAUGUUUCUUUUGAAAUUGAAAAAACAGCCUUUCUGAAUCUGAAAAAUUUGACAGUACUGUCCCUGAAGUCUAACAACUUAACUUUUAUUCCACCCAACUUGUCUUCAACUUUAAAGGAAUUGUAUAUUUACAAUAACAGAAUUCAAGAGGUUCAGGAACAUGAUUUAAGUACCCUUCACAACCUAGAAAUUCUUGAUCUCAGUGGCAAUUGCCCACGUUGCUAUAACGCCCCAUAUCCUUGUACUCCCUGCCCUAAUAUCUCAAUUAAGAUUCAUUCAAAGGCUUUUUAUUCCUUGAAAAAAUUAAGAAUUUUGAGACUUCACAGUAACUCUCUUCGGAGUAUACCAAGCAGCUGGUUUAAAAACAUCAAGAAUCUCAAAGAUCUUGACCUCUCCCAAAACUUCCUCAUAAAGGAGAUUGGAGACGCUCAGUUUUUGAAGCUUAUCCCCAGUCUUGUAGAGCUGGAUCUGUCCUUUAAUUUUGAAUUGCAGAUGUAUUCUCCAUCCUUGAAUCUGUCUAAGACGUUUUCCUCCCUUUCUAACCUGGAAACCCUAAGAAUCAAGGGUUAUGUCUUUAAAGAACUGAGAGAAAGAAAUCUAGAUCCAUUACUCAGUCUUAGAAAUCUGACAGUGUUGGAUCUUGGCACUAAUUUUAUUAAAAUUGCUGACCUAAGAGUGUUCAAGAAAUUCCAAGCUCUCAAAAUCAUAGAUCUCUCAGUGAAUAAAAUUUCUCCUUCUUCAGGUGAAAGUAACUUUUAUGGAUUUUGCUCUGACCCCACAAUUACAGUAGAGCAGUACAGCAGGCAAGUUUUACAAGAGAUGCAUUACUUUAGGUAUGAUGAGUAUGGUCGAAGUUGCAAGUCCAAAGACAAAGAGGCUGAUUCCUACCAACCUUCAGUCAAUGGAGAUUGCAUGAGUUAUGGAAAAACUCUCGAUUUAAGCAGAAACAAUAUAUUUUUUGUUAACUCUGUAGACUUCCAGGAUCUCAGUUUCCUCAAAUGCCUCAACUUGUCAGGUAAUGCCAUAAGUCAAACUUUAAAUGGAAGCGAAUUCUACUACCUGUCUGGAUUGAAAUAUCUGGAUUUUUCUAACAACAGGAUUGAUUUGCUAUAUUCAACUGCUUUCAAUGAGCUGAAAUUUUUAGAAAUUCUAGAUCUGAGCAAUAACAAACAUUACUUUCUGGCAGAAGGUGUUAGUCACGUGCUUAGUUUUAUGAAAAAUUUGGCCUACCUGAAGAAGCUGAUGAUGAAUGAGAAUGAGAUUUCUACUUCUAUUAGCAUGGGGAUGGAAAGUCAAUCUCUUCAAACUUUAGAAUUUAGAGGAAAUCGUUUAGAUAUUUUUUGGGCAGAUGGGAAGACCGAAUAUCUGUCAUUCUUCAAGAAUCUGACCAAACUGGAACAACUGGAUAUUUCCUCUAACAUGCUCAGCUUCUUACCUCCUGAUGUUUUUUCAGCUAUGCCUCCAGAACUCAAGAUACUAAACUUAACCAGUAACCGGUUGAAGACAUUCAAUUGGGGAAAUCUCUACUUGUUGACCAAGCUAGUAACUCUGGACCUCAGCAAUAACCUUCUGACUACUGUUCCCCGAAAGCUAUCCAAUUGCACUUCAACUCUCCAAGAACUGAUACUCCGAAACAACCGUAUUACACGGAUAACCAAAUAUUUUCUCAGAGGUGCCAUUACAUUGUCAUACUUGGACCUCAGUUCAAACAAGAUCCAAAUAAUUAAGAGAUCUAGCUUCCCUGAAAAUAUCAUAAACAACCUGAAGGUGCUGCUUUUGCACAACAAUCCUUUCAAGUGCAAUUGUGAUGCAGUGUGGUUUGUUGGGUGGAUCAAUCAGACUCACGUGACAAUUCCUCUUCUGGCCACAGAUGUGACCUGUGCUGGCCCAGGGGCACACAAAGGAAGGAGCUUGGUUUUCCUGGAUCUGAAUACCUGUGAGCUGGACACAUCCUAUUUGAUCAUGUAUGCUUUAUCAACUUCAGCUGUCCUAAGUUUAAUAAUGUUUGCAGUUAUGAGUCACCUCUAUUUCUGGGAUGUUUGGUAUAGCUAUCAUUACUGCACUGCCAAGUUGAAAGGCUAUAGACGUUUACCUUCACCAGACACCUGCUAUGAUGCUUUUAUUGCCUAUGACAAUACUGAUCUGGCUGUGAAUGAAUGGGUGAUGACAGAAUUGGUUGAAAAGCUGGAAGAUCAAAAAGCCAGGCAGUUCAAUUUAUGCUUGGAAGAAAGAGACUGGCUUCCAGGACAGCCAGUCUUUGACAACCUUUCCCAGAGUAUUCAACUGAGCAAAAAGACCAUAUUUGUGCUGACCAACAAGUAUAUUAAGAGUGGCACUUUCAAGACAACAUUUUACAUGGCCCACCAACGACUUCUAGAUGAAAAAAUUGAUGUGAUUAUCUUGAUAUUUCUUGAGAAAGUAUUACAGAAGUCCCGAUAUGUUCAGCUGAGGAAGAGGCUGUGCAGAAGUUCUGUUCUGGAAUGGCCAACUAACCCUCGAUCUCAGCCCUACUUCUGGCAGUGUCUGAAAAAUGCCAUAGCUAUGAACAACACUCUGGCUUACAACAAACUUCUCCAGGAAACUGUUUAGCUUUACUGCUCCCUGUAAAAUACUGUUACUAUGUGUGGUGAGGAAAAGAUGCUGAACUUGCUAUGGAGAAAAUGUGAAAGUGGAGAGAAUAAAUAUAAUUGUGAUAUGAUACCCAAAAAUGAAACGCACAAUCUGUCCCAAAGAUAAUAAUUGCAUUGUUUUGCUAUGACGACAUUAAAUAUAAACUGAUGCCAGCACAGAUGAUUAACUGUUGCACACCUCAUUCAGCAUUUGCAGCAAGAGAAGAUGCAACAGAGUCACCACUCCCAGUUUCAGUUCGCUGGAGAACAUCUGACAUCACCUGGCUGGGUCAAAUGACAUCUGAUGUUUCCCAGCAAUGUUGAAGCUGUUACACGGGUGUCAAAUUUAUGCUAUCUGCAUGCUCUUGACUGAUUGCCCUGCACCACUUCGCAUGUGCAGCAAGGAUUGAUUGGCUACUGCUAAUGCACAUCCAGAAGGCCUUCACAGCUACAGAAAAUCCUUGGUGUCAGUAUAUUUAAAACUGAGGAGGCAGACCAAAGAGAACAAACCUAUCUGACUCAUAGCCACACUUCUUUCCUGUAGAGGGGUCCCUCCCCCACUUAUGGCCAGAUUCUGCUUUCCUCACACUGUGCUGGAACAUUCCCACAAAAAUCAGUUCUCCAUUCAUGAGGUUGACCUUUCUGUAGCUGAUUACUCUGCAUUCUCUGCAACAGAGCUGGUGCUGCAUGUAGCUGUCCUGUCAGGUGCUGCCCUGUUGGCUGCAAGCUUGGUAUUGACGUUGAGUUUGAUGCAGAGCAGUCCUGCCUGCAGUAUUGUUCUCUAAUGAACAGAUUUAAGAUCUUUUAAAUUCAGAAUUGUCUCAUUUAUACUGCGGACUAAUUGUAUGCCACUAUACUCAUGUUUUCACUUUAUCUUCCUUCUCCUUUCACCAACAAUAAAAAAUUGCAUAGCACCUGGUUCCUGUUUCAUAGUUUUUGAUUCCAUCAAAAGUUUCAGACUUCCCUUUAAUCCUUCUU